CUUUAUUCUGUAGGCAAAAGAGGAGUUUUUGGUGGAUUUUAAGCAAUAUCAGAUCUGCGAAAAGAUGACUCAGGUAACAACUGGAGAAAGGAUCAGAGGCAAGCAAGAGUCCAAGUACCUGAAUCUCUCUCAUCCAUGGAGUGUCACCAUUUUCUGAGGCUGAAAGUUCUUCCACUAGCACCGAUGGGAAAACUCCAAUACGCCCAUUGAAUUCCCCUUCCCAGAAGCCAUCAUCAUCUUGGUUUUCUUUGUUCAAGAUACGGAUUAUUGCUCCCUCAGGAAAAGAUAACUCAUCAUCUGUCUGGCCCUCAUAAUCAUAAAGUGCUUUCACAAAACAUACUAGGGAGCAAGAGAAAAACAAAUCUGGUAAGAUAAUUAACAGCCGGUUGCUUUUGCAACCACCCCUAUGCUCACAUGACAACUAAAAGAGCAUCAUACAGAAUAGGAUUAAAGUUGUAAUUUUUUUACUCACUGAUGAAUGAUUAACUUUAGGGUUCUACUGUGCAGGACAAACGUGACCAUAUAAAGAAAAGCAUAUUAUAGGACAGGAGGAAAGUUGUGCUUUUUAUCCUACUGAAGGCUUACUCCAGGGCAAUACAGUUUAGGUCAAACGUGACCAAAUAAAGAGUGCCUUGUUUCAGUCUUUACCACUGGCAUCUCCGUUGAGGCUGCCUGAAACGAGUUCUGCUUCCGUGGAAUUGCUGGACGUGUGUGACCGACUGUCCAAAGCGGCCAGGGACUGCAGCAUGCUCAGGAGGCUGUUCGAGGUGGGAAACUGUAGGUACUUUUCUGGCACAUAACCCACUUGGCCAACUUUAUUUCGAGCCUGGGUAAAAGACAUGUGACAAAACAAGUUUACACACACAAUUUAGACAGGGCACAACAAAGACCAAAACAAACUCCUAAAAAUGUCACAAGAAAGGGCGAUAUGAGCAAAGGAAUAUACCUUUACCCAGUCUUCCAUAUCUCCAUC
rnacentral:lncRNA from 1 species